AUUGAACGCUGGCGGCAGGCCUAACACAUGCAAGUCGAACGAGUGGCGGACGGGUGAGUAAUGUCUGGGAAACUGGCUGAUGGAGGGGGAUAACUACUGGAAAAGGUAGCUAAUACCGCAUACCAUCAGAUGUGCCCAGAUGGGAUUAGCUAGAUGGUGGGGUAACGGCUCACCAAGGCGACGAUCCCUAGCUGGGCUGAGAGGAUGACCGGCCACACUGGACCGGAGCAACGGUCCAGACUCCUAGGGGCGGCAGCAGUGGGGAAUAUUGCACAAUGGGCGCAAGCCGGAUGCAGCCAUGCCGCUUGUAUGAAGAAGGCCUUCGGGUUUUAAAGUACUUUCAGCGGGGAGGCGUUACCCGCAGAAGAAGCACCGGCUAACUCCGUGCCAGCAGCCGCGGUAAUAC
rnacentral:rRNA from 1 species